rnacentral:rRNA from 1 species
AGGACGAACGCUGGCGGCGUGCUUAACACAUGCAAGUGGAGCGACGAACCAGGGCUUGCCCUGGGGCAGAGCCGCGAACGGGUGAGUAACACGUGGGUUACCUGCCUUGAUGACCGGGACAACCCGAGGAAACUCGGGCUAAUACCGGAUGUGCCCGCAAGGGGAAAGGAAGCUUCGGCCUCCGCAUCAAGAUGGGCCCGCGGCCCAUUAGCUUGUUGGUGAGGUAACGGCUCACCAAGGCUUCGAUGGUAGCUGGUCUGAGAGGACGAUCAGCCACACUGGGACUGAGACACGGCCCAGACUCCUACGGGAGGCAGCAGUGGGGAAUCUUGCGCAAUGGGCGAAAGCCUGACGCAGCGACGCCGCGUGAGGGACGAAGGCUUUCUGAGUUGUAAACCUCUUUCAGCAGGGACGAUUGUGACGGUACCUGCAGAAGAAGCACCGGCCAACUACGUGCCAGCAGCCGC